CAGCCGCCGCGGUAAUACCGGCGGCCCGAGUGGCGGUCACUAUUAUUGGGCUUAAAACGUCCGUAGCCGGGCUGGUAAGUCCUCCGGGAAAUCUGGUCGCUUAACGAUCAGACUUCCGGAGGAUACUGCUGGCCUAGGGACCGGGAGAGGCCGAGGGGAUUCCCGGGGUAGGGGUGAAAUCCUGUAAUCCCGGGAGGACCACCUGUGGCGAAGGCGCUCGGCUGGAACGGGUCCGACGGUGAGGGACGAAGGCCAGGGGAGCGAACCGGAUUAGAUACCCGGGUAGUCCUGGCUGUAAACGAUGCGGACUAGGUGUCGGGCAAGCUAAGGGCUUGUCCGGUGCCGCAGGGAAGCCGUUAAGUCCGCCGCCUGGGGAGUACGGCCGCAAGGCUGAAACUUAAAGGAAUUGGCGGG
rnacentral:rRNA from 1 species